UACGUAGGCAGCAAGCGUUGUUCGGAAUUACUGGGCGUAAAGGGUGCGUAGGUGGUGAGGUAAGUCGGAUGUGAAAUCUCCGAGCUCAACUCGGAAAUGGCAUUGGAAACUACCUUGCUUGAGGGUUGGAGGGGGGACUGGAAUACUUGGUGUAGCAGUGAAAUGCGUAGAUAUCAAGUGGAACACCAGUGGCGAAGGCGAGUCCCUGGACAACUCCUGACACUGAGGCACGAAAGCUAGGGGAGCAAACAGG
rnacentral:rRNA from 1 species